rnacentral:rRNA from 1 species
GACGAACGCUGGCGGCGUGCCUAAUACAUGCAAGUAGAACGCUGAAGGAGGAGCUUGCUUCUCUGGAUGAGUUGCGAACGGGUGAGUAACGCGUAGGUAACCUGCCUGGUAGCGGGGGAUAACUAUUGGAAACGAUAGCUAAUACCGCAUAAGAGUAGAUGUUGCAUGACAUUUACUUAAAAGGUGCAAUUGCAUCACUACCAGAUGGAACUGCGUUGUAUUAGCUAGUUGGUGAGGUAACGGCUCACCAAGGCAACGAUACAUAGCCGACCUGAGAGGGUGAUCGGCCACACUGAGACGGAGACACGGCCCAGACUCCUACGGGAGGCAGCAGUAGGGAAUCUUCGGCAAUGGACGGAAGGCUGACCGAGCAACGCCGCGUGAGUGAAGAAGGGUUUCGGAUCGUAAAGCUCUGUUGUAAGAGAAGAAAGAGUGUGAGAGUGGAAAGUUCACACUGUGACGGUAUCUUACCAGAAAGGGACGGCUAACUACGUG